GGCAAGUAUGGACAAAACAUUCAAGCUGGAUUCAGCUCUAAAUUUGGAUUGUUAUUAAAUAGUUGACACAGCAUAGGUUUCUGACACAGAAUGAAUGUGGUCUAAUGAACUUAAAAUAUUUUUUUUUGCCUUUGAGCAAUUCGCUAUGCUGUCGAAUAUUAAUCCUCUCAAAAAAAUGUUUGAAGAAAUUUUCUUUUUAUUUAUGAAAUC
rnacentral:lncRNA from 1 species